rnacentral:tRNA from 1 species
CAGGGAGACAACAAAAUGUUUAAUAUUAUUAUUUUGUCACCUUAGGUCGAUCGGUAUCUCACGUUCUUAAUUCGUUAAGAAUUUCAUUUCCUAAGUUUUUCUAGGUCACACCCAUUAUUUUUCCUGGGCCAUUAGCUCAGGUGGUUAGAGCGCACCCCUGAUAAGGGUGAGGUCCCUGGUUCAAGUCCAGGAUGGCCCAUAUCUCUAUGUUGGGGGUAUAGCUCAGUUGGUAGAGCGCCUGCUUUGCAAGCAGGAUGUCAGCGGUUCGAGUCCGCUUACCUCCACUGAUUACCACCUCUUCCAUAACCGAUAGAAAGGAAAUGUUUUGAGUUGUGAUCAUUAUUCUGAACGAAUCUAGCUUCCUAAUGAAAUCAUUAAGAUGCUGGACUCAUUGAAUUAAUUUCAUUGUUUUCAGAGAACCUUGACAACUGCAUAGAUUAUUUUUAAAGACAAUAAGCAUCUUUAAUGAUGCGGAUUUAUUAUUUGUGCGAAUGCAUUAAUAACAAUUCUAUUAAGCUGAUGCUUCAAUUUUUGAAGUUAUU